GUUUAUGGCUGAGCAUGGAACUGAGAGCCUGGAGGUGAAUAUAGCCAGAGGGUGUAAGUAUCCUGAGAAGUGUCCAAAUAGAAUGCUUUCAUCAACCAGGAGUACCCACAUUGGAUUAUUAGGAUGAAGGUCACAUCCAUAUUAAUUGCCCUUAUAGUGAAGCCUUCCUGGAGGCCACCUGUCAGCACAUCUGGAGCUCAUGUUGCUGCUGCUUCCAACACGGCACCAUUUCCAUCCCCGCUCUGACUUCAAAGACCCAUCAAGGUUGAUGGGAAAAAGCCAGAAGUAGAAAACAUUGAAAACAACUUGAAAGACCAUGCUAACGUCUCUUUCGCAGGUAAAUAGUGACUUAUUCAUAACGUCCAGGUUUUUUGAUAACAGGCCAGAGCAAUUUUUUUUGUAU